rnacentral:tRNA from 1 species
AAUAAGAUGCCUGAAAAAAGGACUAUUUUGAUAGAAUAGAAUAUGCAACCUAAAUUGCUCUUAUUA